CAGGCGUGGUGGUAGGCACCUGGAAUCCUAGCUACUCGGGAGGCUGAGGCAGGAGAAUCGCUUGAACCCGGGAGGCGGAGGCUGCAGUGAGCCGAGGUCAUGCCAUUGCACUCCAGCCUGGGCGACGGAGCAAGACUCUCUUAAAAAAAAAAUAAAAGGAGCACCCAUGGAUGAAAGCAGCAGCUAACAGCUCUGUGAUUCAGCCAAACCUAGAUAUCGUGCCCAUUCCUUCCCCUCGGUCCAUUUUCUCUAGCCCCUUUAAAAACCAAAAAACAAGCAACUUUGAAGUCACGUUGGGUUUAAAAUAAAUAGUGAUAAUUUAUAUAAUCAAUAAAGGGUUCAAUCUGCUCUUACUUAUGGGGACUUCUCUGAAAGCUGGCUUAGCGGUGCCUCGGCCAGAGAACAUUCUGUGUGGACUCUGACAGUGAAACAGGAGGCGUAGUGGACAAGGGUUCUCAUCUCCAAACCCAGCUCAGGGAUUGAAGCUAACUACCGCCACUCCUUCCUCUCUGGAAGAACAAAGAGCCAGUACCCAGGACUCUGCCCAUCCCCGAGAAGGGGUGCCUGAUUUCUUACGUCUAGGGUGGCUCCUCCAUGCAGAUCAGACAGGACUGAGAGCAGACCAGCCGAGACCAGCAUGACCAACACAGGGCAGGUCUGAGGCUGCUGCCUGAUGCAGGGUAUGGCACAAACCCUUCCUGAAUUGCCUCGGAUAAGGAGACCUGGUUCCCUGUUGACAGAAUGCCAGGGGAAAUGCCGCAAGUGCACAGCUGGAAAUGGGAUUCCUUCCCCAGGAAGAGCACUCGCAAUAACCUGCCGCAACCUGCCUGCUUGAGGGUGACAGCAAGUGUCACACACUUCUUGCCAACUCCAAGUCAGAUUCCUAAAAAUAAAAUAGAGCUGCACUGGGCCAUUUAAGCAAAAGCCUUAGAAACAUGGACACGUGGAAUGCUAGCCUACAUGACGGGUUCGAUUACAUUGUAUAUAUUAAAUAAAAAUUCCCAGUUUAAUAUUCAUCAGAAUAGCCUCUUGGACCCUCGAAGUUCCACACCUUUGGGAAAUACAAAUUUCCUUAAAGGGAUUUUUUUGUGUGUGUAAAUAGCUUUCAUUUUCUCCAUCUGGAAGUGAUUUCUCCCUGCAUGUCAGAGCACAAAAUACUGCCAUUAAUUAGAGCGUUACUGGAUGUCAUUUGCUAGAAUGUAUUUCCUUACUGCUGACAGAAAACAGAACAGACUCUAGGAAAGAAUUAGCAGGCCCGUGACCUUGGCCCCUCCCAGCGGCUGCCCUCCCUUCCCUGACAGUCUAAGGAAGCAACGUGUGGGAGCAGAAUGUGGCCGACCGAGCCCAGUCCUGGCCUGUCCGGUUGCAGUAGAGUCUCUGUAAUGUGUAAAGUGUUCCGCUUCUGACUUGGAACCCUUCUUGCUCUGUGAAUUUCUAUCCUGUGAACAUUCCCUUUUCUGUCCUUGCCGUUCCCCUCACAGCCUGCUCUUCCAGUGACCGCCAAGUGAUUUCUCUCCUGCACGCGUGCGUCCAUCCUGUUUCCUUAGUAGCUGGAUGGACAUUUUGCCAUGAAAACUUUGGGAAGUCCUGUGUCCUUUCAACAGUGGAAAGCUGGCUGCGGCCCUUCCAUGAGGCUCCAGGAUCAUUACCUCGUUUCCAUUCUUUCUUUUCAACAGCUCCCCAUUGUACUAGGGAAGCCAAGGGAUCACCCUAAUGAGAAAAGAACCUUCCCUGUAGCCCACCUGGAGGGGCAUUGCCUGCCAGUUCCUUCCUUCUCAGCUACGUGGACAGGAGGGAAGAGGAGGUGGCGAUCCGCGGGACAUGAAGGACGUUUCCACUUGAAGUGAAAGCAGCCUGGGAUUGGAAGCGUCCACAGAAGACCUGAUCUGCAAGGCUUUGAUGUGGACCUGGCUCUUUGACACUGGGCGAGUCACCGAUCCCCUGAGCAUCUGUUUUCAAUAUUGGGCCAAGAAAAGUAUUUGCAGAGUGGGCUGCAGCUUUCAGGGGUCUCAGGUGAAAUGGUGGCAAGAAACCCCAGCUCCCUUCACGUGUUUGCUCUGUGCUGAUGGAAAAGGAAGGCGUUUCUCUGCCGCCAAAAAGACCCCGUUCCACAGGGUUCUUCACAAAAUCAAGCACUGCGAUGGACCGACAGGAGCAGCCACUGGAGGGCUUUAGAAGACAAAUGGAAAACAUAUCAAAUGCUGUGUAAAGAAAACAUCCGUUUACACACAGCCCCCCACCGCCUCAUACCCACACCCGAUAUGAAAUGCUGUAUAAAGAAACAUCAGUUUACACACACACAGCCCCUCACAGCCUCGUACCCACACCCAAUAUCAAAUGCUGGCUGUAUAGACAUCAGUUUACACACAGAGAGUCCCACAGCCUCAUACUCAUGCCUCUUACAUGCUUGCACGGCCCUAAAGGAGCCAGAGCAUUGGCUCAGCAGCUGGCCAGCUCGGAGGUCAGAGGAGGGUGCUGAGGGGAGUGGAGGUCAGUUGGGGUAUCCCUGGGCCCUGGCUGCACAGUCCAGCUGCCGUGUGGCCUGCCUGUAUUACCUUUGGUCAUGAGAGGAUCUGGGCGAUUCAGGGCUAUCUGUACAUGUUGGUGGGGUGGGAAGGAAAAGGUAACUGCGUAUUUACUGUGUCCUGGAUAUGUUAUCACAUCUCAUUGGAUCAAAUUCCUGCUAAGUUUACCUCCGUGUACCGGAUGGGACUUGGAGGCUCAGAGAGGGUAAGUGACAGGCCCAAGGAUAUGUGGCUAGUAUGGGGGCGUGCCAGGAUUUGAUGUGUGACUAGUGAGGGGUGAGCCAGGAUUUGAUGUGUGACUAAUGAGGGAUGGGCCAGGAUUUGAUAUGUGACCAGUGAGGGAUGGGCCAGGAUUUGAUAUGUGACUAGUGAGGGAUGGGCCAGGAUUUGAUAUGUGACCAGUGAGGGGGGAGCCAGGAUUUGAUAUGUGACCAGUGAGGGGGGAGCCAGGAUUUGAUAUGUGACUAGUGAGGAGUGGCCAGGAUUUGAUAUGUGACUAGUGAGUGAGGGAUGGGCCAGGAUUUGAUAUGUGACCAGUGAGGGAUGGGCCAGGAUUUGAUAUGUGACUAGUGAGGGAUGGGCCAGGAUUUGAUAUGUGACUAGUGAGGAGUGGCCAGGAUUUGAUAUGUGACCAGUGAGGGGUGAGCCAGGAUUUGAUAUGUGACUAGUGAGGGAUGGGCCAGGAUUUGAUAUGUGACUAGUGAGGGAUGGGCCAGGAUUUGAUAUGUGAUUAGUGAGGGGUGAGCCAGGAUUUGAUAUGUGGCUAGUGAGGGAUGGGCCAGGAUUUGAUAUGUGACUAGUGAGGAGUGGCCAGGAUUUGAUAUGUGACUAGUGAGGGGUAAGCCAGGAUUUGAUAUGUGACCAGUGAGGGGUGGGCCAGGAUUCGAUAUGUGACUAGUGAGGGGUGGGCCAGGAUUUGAUAUGUGACUAGUGAGGGAUGGACCAGGAUUUGAUAUGUGACUAGUGAGGGAUGGACCAGGAUUUGAUAUGUGACUAGUGAGGGGUGACCAGGAUUUGAUA